rnacentral:rRNA from 1 species
UACGUGAGGGUGCGAGCGUUUGUCCGGAAUUAUUGGGCGUAAAGAGCUCGUAGGCGGUGUGUCGCGUCGGCCGUGAAAACCUGGGGCUCAACCUUGGGACUUGCAGUGGGUACGGGCAGACUAGAGUGCGGUAGGGGUGACUGGAAUUCCUGGUGUAGCGGUGGAAUGCGCAGAUAUCAGGAGGAACACCGAUGGCGAAGGCAGGUCACUGGGCCGCAACUGACGCUGGAGGAGCGAAAGCUGGGGAGCGAACAGG